UAGGAGACUAAGUGCUGACUCGAGGGAGC
rnacentral:piRNA from 1 species